rnacentral:lncRNA from 1 species
CUCACUCUAACCCUACACAAAUCACUAAAAAACCUAACUCUCACUCACAUAUUCAAGCUAUCUAUAUUACACACACUACUGGAAAAUAGGCUAUUAAAUACACCCAUAUCUAAUACGGUUGUAAAUAAAAACCGUAUUAUAAAGGGAUAAAUAAAUAUAAUACGCACAAUUACAACAUCUAAUACGGUUAAUGAGAUGUACUAGAAACAAGAUCAAAUAACUAAAUAAAAUACACCCCCAUUUUGAUUAGGUACGGCUAAUACCUAAAUUGAAUACGCUUCCUCGUCAUAUACUUAGCUUCCUCCUCACACACUUGUCUCCUCCCAACCGAACACCUUAACACCACCCUUUCUCCAUCUCUACACCACUAAUCGGUCCUUCAUCUCCAUCUCUCCUGUCGCAACACCGUCAUCACCGGCCAACCUCGCCUCGCCUCGCACCUCCAAUAAUUCAACCAACCUGAAAAUCCCACCACCGGACCAUCAUCAUCAUACAAAUUAACCACACUUGCGGUUCAAAUUUAAAGGGUAAGAGCUUUGAUUUAUGUUUUUGCAAUAGACAAACACAGGUAGCGGUUCAAAUUUAAAGGUAGGAGCUUUGAUUUUUGUUUUUGCAACAGAAAAACAAGGACAGAAAUACAAAGGAACUACAACUGUUCAUGAAGGAUAAGGAAGUGUUUUGGCUGUGAUCAAGAUGCAAAAUCAAAUGGUAGGAUUUCUAUUUUGAAAACUUAUUGUUUAAUUUUAACCAGAUGACCUUGGAAUCUUAAAAUUCAAACACCCUCUUGUUAAAUACUACUUGGCAGUCCUUAACGGUUCUUGAGUACUAAGUUCAUACCAAACAAUUUCAAUAUAUCAACUUCUUACUCACAGAGACCACAUUCCCUAUUUCAUCAAGUCUGUCAAAAUAUCAAAUUAAGUUCCAUAAUACACACAUAUAUAGUGCAAACAUAAUACGUAUACCUGCUUAAUAAUCUUGAAAUUUUGGCUAAAAUCUUUCAAGAAAUGAUAAAAUUGGUGGUUAAUUGUUGUUUUCUUUUGUUUACCGUAAGCAUUUGUAAGCAUUUGAGUUUGCAUCAACUAAAAGGAUAAAAAUUCCCUAUGUACCUCAUAAACAAUGGUUAUUUUUUCAUUUCUAUCAUAUUCUUCUAAUAAUGGUAUCAAUUCCAAUUUAAUCAAUUGUUUAAUAGAAUUUUUUUGAUUUGUAUUUAGUUAAAUCUUUUAUCCGGACCAAAUUAUCCUUGAAACGGGCUUAUUAAUGAUCAACAUUUUUGGUAAACAUGAUAUAUUUGCCUGAUUCAGGUCACAAUCUUGUUGAAUUAGAGUUGAAGAACACAUGGCUUUAUGUUGAAAAUCUGAAUCAGAUGUUAAUGGUAACAAGUUUAACACUCAAGUCCAUAUGAUUAGAUGAUAAGGAAUUAAUCCAGUUAAGUAAGUCAUUCCGUAUUCUUCAAGUUCUUAACUUGAUAGAUGUUAGAGGACUUAAACUACCAACAAUCCACCUUCUCCACCUAAAAACAUGUCAUUGGACUAUAAUAGAUGCUCCACCAUUUGUAACAUUUAAUAUUUUGCAAUAGCAGAAAAUGAAUCAAUUGGAAGAGAACGCUACAAUUUUAUGCAUAUAUUUAUUCUUUAUAUAAUCAUUAUAAUCAUACAUCAACUAUCCUUCUAUAGAGUGGUUACUUUUUAUAAAUUCUCUUUGUUCCUUUUUGAUAAGCUAAAUGCAAAAAAAAAAAAAAAAGGCUAAGUAAGAUGCUAUAAGAAACAAAUCAAUGAAAUUACUUUGCUAUUGUGAAUGUUAUAGGAGUUCAAGUAAUUCCUUUUUUAUUUUUUAUUUUGUAGAAAAUGUUGUUGCCAUGUGGUCUUCCACCAGAGAGAGAGAAGAGGAAUAAGGCAAUGAGGAUUUUCAUGGGGAGAUUUACUAUGAUUGCAUUAUGAAAAAAUUGUGUAGUAUCAACCUGAUGCGAGGAUAAAAAACUAUGUUGAGUUUUUGAUGUUUAUGUUACAUGUAAUAUGUUCUAUAUUAUACAAAGUCAUGUUUUAGUGAUGAACAUUAAUCUUUGUGUAUUUUAUGGGGUGGUUAUGUUGGUAAGUGUCACGUUGUAAGUGAUGAACAUUAAUCUUUGUGUAUUUUUUGUAAAUUUAGUCUAAUUGUAUAAUUUUAUAAAAAAAUAGCAAAAAAAUUGAUGAAAAGACCAAAAAAGACAUCAAAACCCAAGUGUAAAAAACAAAAAAAAAAAUUGAAGAUGUAUUAGUUUUGACAAUUUGGAUGUUUUGUGUUUUUAUGUUUGAAGUUGUAUUAUGUAUUUCCAAUAUGAAAACCAAAAAAAAAAUGAGAAAAAAGGAUGAAAAUUCUCC